CCUACGGGGGGCAGCAGUGGGGAAUAUUGCACAAUGGGCGAAAGCCUGAUGCAGCGACGCCGCGUGUGGGAUGACGGCCUUCGGGUUGUAAACCACUUUCAGCAGGGAAGAAGCUUUUUGUGACGGUACCUGCAGAAGAAGCGCCGGCUAACUACGUGCCAGCAGCCGCGGUAAUACGUAGGGCGCGAGCGUUAUCCGGAAUUAUUGGGCGUAAAGAGCUCGUAGGCGGUUUGUCGCGUCUGCUGUGAAAGCCCGGGGCUUAACCCCGGGUGUGCAGUGGGUACGGGCAGGCUAGAGUGCAGUAGGGGAGACUGGAAUUCCUGGUGUAGCGGUGAAAUGCGCAGAUAUCAGGAGGAACACCGAUGGCGAAGGCAGGUCUCUGGGCUGUUACUGACGCUGAGGAGCGAAAGCAUGGGGAGCGAACAGGAUUAGAUACCCCUGUAGUC
rnacentral:rRNA from 1 species